rnacentral:rRNA from 1 species
UUUCCGUAGUGAACCUGCGAAGGAUCAUUGUCGACCA